AGAGAGAGAGAGAGAGAGAGAGUCUGGAUGUCUGCCUGCCUGUCUGUCUGUCUGGCAAGAGAACUCACAUAAUACCAAGAGAAAACACACACACACACACACACACACACACACACACACAUUUUGGCGCCAAACUUUCAAACCUGUCUUAUCCUACCCUCUCACUCUCUCUCUCUUGCCCCUCCUACCACUGCAUACCCUCUCACUUGCCCCUCUCUCCCUCCUCUGUGCCACUCUCCUUGACGUUCUCCCUCGCGUAGGUCACUCCUGCAUGACUGAUGUACGACCCGCGCUUCCCUGGUCGUUCCUAAAUAGCUUAAAACGACCGUGAAUUGAAGUGUAAAUUGUAUUACUUGAAGAGGCGGGGCUUGGCGUGAAGCGGAGAGGGAGGAGAAACUGAUGAUAGUCUCUUGAUACACCUCCCUUUAUCUCCCCACGUAUCUCCCUCCCCUGGGCCUCCACGCGCUUCACCCUCUGGUUAAAUCAAAGAGGAAUGGUUGUAGAUGUUAUACAGAGCUGUAGAAGGGUGUAACUUUAUCGUGGGUGUAGUUACAAGAGUGUUUUUUGAAGGUAGGACAGGCUGCGGGGUGUAAUGGGUUGAGAUGCAGUGUUUGUCUGGGUGUUAUAUCAUAUCCUGUGAUAUUUAUGUCCCCUGGGGGUGUACUCGCCUCCACCCUUGCCUUAGGUAGUAGGGGGAUGGUUACAUAAGUAGCUAGUGAGUGUAGAAUAGUGUAGCUGUAGUGUAAGUGUAGAAACUAACGUGUUUUUCGCAUAUGUUGGUUGGCCGAUGAACGAGAAUUACAACAGUACUCCCGCCUCGCUACUCAUCUCGCCUCUCUUCUUAUUUUCCUCCCUGGGGGGAUUACACGCGUCUCCCCUGGGGUGGCGGGCGGGGAGGUGAUAGUAGAGGCUUUAUUUAAGUAUUUAAGUGGCUGGGAUACCGUGUAGGUGCAAAUAUAAGUGCGUUUUUAGUGAUAACGGAGAGAGAGAGAGAGAGAGAGAGAGAGAGAGAGAGAGAGAGAGAGAGAGAGAAAUGCCAUUAGUUACCUUGCUCUACAUCUCCCCUGAUUUCUAUCUCCUCAGGGAGAAUACACGCUUGUCCCUGGGGUUGUGCACAGGGGGGUGACAGUACAAGUUACCUAUAAGCACCAGUAAUCUGCAGGUAUCUUGUCCAAGGAGAUACAGGCCCAUUCUCUGUGUAUACUGGCAACCUUGGACUAAGCUUUGAAAUGAGUCGGUUAGUAGAGGCGGGGCAACACUGGCGGCUGUAGCAGAAGGCGUGUGCGUGUGGGAGGUGCUAGGGAACCGUUGACAGCAGGAGGAGGAGCGGGGAAGCCGGGAGAGGGAGAGGAGAGAGGAGAGGAGAGAGCGGUGAGCGGGAAGUGGCUGGCUGGCUGGCUGGCGGCUGACAGGAGGCGGCCCAUAUUCUGAAACAACUUUUGCGCCGCUCCUGCACCACUUUCAAAAGCCUCUAGUUGAAGUGACACGCGUUUCUAAGCUUGUUCAUACAGUUGUAGUGACAGACUGACACCAUUUCUACAUUAUGAACGGGAGAAACAGCAUUGGGAGCCCGGCAAAUGGUUCCUGUGGCCUUGGAAAACAGUCGCGGUGAGAGCCGAGCGUUUGCUAACACGGGCGCCGCUCACUCAAACAUCGCGCCAUUAUUCGAAGUUAAAUGCCCAGCGAGGGUAUAUAUCUGAGAGGCGCAGGUGGCCAGGCAGUUCUCCCGUCACGCCCGCCCUGCCGCCACCGCCUGGAGCCGCUGCACACAGGCCCUGGCAGUGAAGUGGGCGAGAAACACCACCUGCUACCUUUUCACCGCCUUCUGCUGCGUAAGGGAGGAAGAAACAGUGAGUUUUAGCAGUUACAGCAGGAAAAGCCCUUCUGCGCCUUCUACUUCAGUGGCUGAGGUUGUGACAGUGACCAGAGCAGUUAUAUACACCCCUAACUGCCUCCUUCACCGCCUCCAUCAGUAGUUGAGGCUGUAGCAGUGAAGAGGGGUGAAGAUACGGCCUUUAUCCCUCCUUCACCGCCUUCUGCAGGAUUUGGGAGGAAGAAAAGUGUUCGGUGCAAGAAACGGUCAUAACAGGAAUUCCCCCUUCUACGCCUCCUCCGUCAGUAGUUGAGGCUGUAGCAGUGACAAGGGCGAGGAUAUCCUGUGCCACUCCAUCGCCUUCUACAGGAGUUAGGAAGGUGAAACAGUGACCAGUGGAAGUUGCAUUGCAAGAAACGGUCUUAACUGUAGGAAUUCUCCCUUCAGCGCCUCCGUCAGAUGUGCAAGGUGUUGUAGCAGUGAUACGCCCGUAAAUGCCACUCCUUCACCGCCUUCUACUGAAUUAGGAAGGGAAAGGUGACCAGUGGAAGUUACAGAAGGGAAAUCUUGUCUUCUGCGCCUCCGUCAGUAGAGACAGUGACAGUAGCAGUUGUAUACACCAGUAACUCUCCUCCAUCACCUACUGCGUGCCAGACUGCUAUAACUGCCGGCGUUUUCCCCUUCUGGGCCUCCGUCAGUUGUGGGGUAAGCUGUGACAGUGACGAUUAAACAAAGAAAGAAAAAAAUAAGAGGACAUUAGGAGAAAAAAAAAUAGAAGAAAAUACACAAACAAGAUAAACAAGGAAACGAAAAUAAAGAAAACAGGAAUACAAACAAAAUAUUCAGGAAAAAAAACAAAAAAACAAAGAGGAAAUAAUCACAAAAAAUAAACCAAACACGAACAAAGAAAAAAAAACACGAAAACAAGAAAAAAAAUAUAACAAGAAUAAAGAAAAUCUAAUAAUAAUAAAAAACAAAAAACACGGAAACUACAACCACCAUCACCACCACAACCACCACCACCACCACCAUGAUCUCUUUCUCCCCACUCUCCCCGGUCUCCCCCGCCAAACCAAGAGGCGUGAGGGUAUUAGUACGACCCAAGCCUACUGCCAGACGCGCCCUGACCCAGCUAGGCCUAAGCAACCCCAAGGAAAACCUAAAAAUGGCAGAAGAUUUAAUUUCAACAACGUCUCUAGCAUUUGCAGCAAGAUGGCACCUGGACCAGCAAUUUGACCCUUUAGGCGAAGAUUACUGGGUCAGGGGGGCGUGGGGGUCAGACAGCUCCCCACUGACCUACCCUGACCUCUGUGACCUGUGCCAAGCCGCGGGUCAGCCCACAGUAGUCGUAAGGCAGGUCAAAGAGAAAGGUCAUGUCAAGGAAGGAGGAGGUCAUUUGUCCCCAGUGCAGAAAGUCAAGCAGAGCAAAAUAACUGAGUUCGGCCGUCAGAGGAAGAGACUGCACUCCUCCUCCUCCUCCUCCCCCGCCAAGUGCAAAGAAGAGGAUGAGUUUGUGGUUAUGACUAAAGGAGGAAGGAAGAAAUUACACUUGUCUUCCUCCUCUUCCUCCUCUUCUCCUUCAAAAGCUGCUAAACUCAUCUCCUUCUCUUCCUCCUCCUCCUCUUCCUCCUCCUCUAUCAUCUCUUUCUCCCCUUCUAAAUCCUCCUCUUCCUCCUCCUCUUCCUUGAAAUAAAUCUGUCCUGUCUUCUCUUCCUCUCUUCUCUUCCUCCUCCUCUCUCUCUGUUUAUGUUCAGAGAGAGAGAGAGAGAGAGAGAGAGAGAGAGAGAGAGAGAGAGAGAGAGAGAUUUUAAUAUUUUUUCAUUUAUUUUUUGUUUUUUUAUAAAUAUAGAGAAAAAAGCAAGAUUAUUAUUAUUAUGAUUAUUAUUAUUAUUAUUAUUAUUAUUAUUAUUAUUAUUAUUAUUAUUAUUAUUAUUGUUAUUAUUAUGUGAAAGUUAAAAAUUGAAAAAAAGUAAAGAAAAAACUAGUCUAUUGAAAUGAUUAUGUGUUUGUUUGUUGGAAUGAUGAUGAUGAUGAUGACGACGAUGAUGAUAGUAAAUUGUAAUGAUGAUGAUGAAUGGUGAUUGUAAUGAUGAAAUGAAAGGAAUUAUGUUAUUGAAGAAAAUUAAUGAUGGUUGUAAUGCAAGAUAAUGCCCUACGCAGUUGUAAUGAUAAAUGAUGAUGAUGAUGAUGAUGAUGAUGAUGAUGGUAGCAAUGAGAAACAAUGAUGAUGAUAGAAAGUUGUAAUGAUGAUGGUGAUGAUAAUGAACUAGAAUGAAAAAAAUAAUGAUGAAUAAAGGAAAGAAAAAUAAUAAAAAAAUAAUGAUGAGAGAACGAAAGUAAUGAACAAAGAAAGUAAAAAAAAAAAUAUAAGGAAAAAAAUCAAUGAGGAAAGCAAGUUUUCUUUUUGUGAAAAUUUGGAGAGAGAAGAAAAACGAACAAGGAAAAGAAGUAAAACAUGAAAAAAAGAAUACAUUUUGUGAAAGAAGAGAAAGAAGAAAGAAGCAAAUUUUUGGUGAAGGAAAGAAAAUGAACUGAAAAAAACAAAAUAUGAAAAAAAUGAAUGAUGAAAACUAAAACAGAGAGAGAGAGAGAGAGAGAGAGAGAGAGAGAGAGAGAGAGAGAGAGAGAGAGAGAGAGAGAGAGAAAAAGAAACGAAGAUCUCUGAAAUUUGACAUCUCUUUAGCCUAGUCAGUAUUUAUUGUAGUGUGUAUUCUACUUAGUGCAUUUACCUUAUUGUUAAAUCUAUCAGAAACUUGUAUUGGCGGUGCAGUGUUGUAUUGUUUUGUAUUGCCCCACGUCAUCACACACACACACACACACACACACACACACACACACACACACACACAUGAAAAAAUUGUGUUGUACUUAUUUUGUGUUUUUAUUUUAUUUUUGCAUUUUUUAUUUUGUUUUGCUUUGUUUUUUUUUUUCCUAUUGUAUUUAAUUUUUUUUUUUGUCAGUUUGUGUAUUUUAUUUUGUAUCUUUUUAUCAAUAUUUUUUUUUUAUAAUUAAUUUGUUUUAUUUUUCGUUGUUUUCAUUAUAUCUAUAUCCAUUUUAUUGUAUUCUUUCCUCAAAAAUACUUAAAAAUGUCAUUAUUAUUAUUAUUAUUAUUAUUAUUAUUAUUAUUAUUAUUAUUAUUAUUAUUAUUAUUAUUAUUAUUAUUAUUAUUAUCCACACAUUCUACUACUUAAUAUAACCCAACGAAAGUCACAAAAUAAUAAUAAUAAUAGUUUCACCAUGUUAUAAUUUCCGUGCAUUUGUUUGUUUAGUUACUGUUAACUUAGUGAAGUCAUCCCCUGCAACACUUCACCGCCGCCCGUUUUCUGUGUGUCUUCUCGAGGGUUGGCUACUGUGCUGUCUGUUUCCUUGUCAUUGUAAACACUUUAUAUUUUGUAAGUCAUUAUUUUUAUUUUUCUUUGUUACAUUUGUCAUUUUUCUUUUUCUGUCAUUAUUUUGUAUUUCAUUUAUUCCAGUUUUUAUCGUAUUUUAUUUUAUAUCUACUUAAAAAAAAAUUCCUUUCCUCCUUUUUUAGUAGCUGUUCUUUUUUUCGUCUUUUCCUUUACUUCCUUUUCUUUCUAUUUUAUUCAUGUUUAUCUGAUAAUGUGAUUAUUUCUGAUUAUUCGUUACAUUUCACAUAUUAAUUUCAUCUUCAUCUUAUUUUACUUAUUAAUUUUUCACUUAUUUUUUCUUGAUCUCAUUUUACUCAUUAUUUUUCUUGUGAUUGUCAUUAUAAGCAACGUGUGUCUGUCUGUCUGUCUGUCACGGUACUAGUCUUGUAUUCUGUAUUAAUCUGUAAUUAUCUCUUCUGUUUUUUUCUCUAUCUACACUACAUUUAAUAUUUUUUUCUUUUAUCUCUACGUAGCCACUCAUUUUUUGAUCUCAUAGGCUUAAUUAUGAUUUAGGCUGUCUGUACGCCUAUCUGCCUUCCCUUACAAUUAUUAUUAUUAUUAUUAUUAUUAUUAUUAUUAUUAUUAUUAUUAUUAUUAUUAAGGUCACUUCUUCAGUCCUCAGUAAAUAAUUGGGGAUAAUUGCAAUACCUGGCAUCUAGUCCAGUUUACUCAAAAAAAAAAAAAAUUACAGUUAUUAUUAGUUAUUAUUAUUAUUGUUAUUAUUACUAUUAUUAUUACUACUAUCACUGCUGCCUCUGCUCGUCUUAUUAUCAUCAUUAAUGUCUCUUUUGUCCUUUUGCAAUGUUUUUUUCUUUGUUCUUUCCUAUUCAUCGUUUUUCUCGUUUUCUAUUUUCUUAAUUUUCUUUUUCGUUUUCUUUCUCAAGUUGAUCAGUUUGCAGUAUGGUUUUUCUUUGUUUCUCUCUCUCUCUCUCUCUCUCUCUCUCUCUCUCUCUCUCUCUCUCUCUCUCUCUCUCUCUCUCUCUCUCUCUCUCUCUCUCUCGUAUUUUUUUUUUCUUUCACGGUUCUUUUUUUUUUAUCUCUUCCAGUUCUUAUUGUUUUGUAAUUUUUUCUUUUCUUUCAUUUUCUUUGUUUCUUAUUUGUUUUUCUUUAUUUUGUGUGUGCUUUUCAUAUUUCCUUUGUUUAGUUUUCUUUAUUUCUUCCUCUUGUCUCGUCUCAUUUUUUCUUUUUUUUUUUUUGCAUUUUCCUUAUUUUUUUUAUUUUGUGUUUUCCUUUAUUGGUGAUUUAGUAGUGUGUUUUUCUUGUUUUUUCUCAUUUUUCUUGUUUAUUUAUCUAUUUCACUCCGUCUAAAUUUACAUUAGUCUCCCCUUUCAGUACUCCACACACUCAGUUUUCUGUAAUUCGAAAAUAAAACAAAUAAGUAAUAUUUUCUUUAGUUAAUUAAUUUUUUUUUUUACUCAAUUUUUUUUAGCCAUCCUUGAAAUGCUCCAGUUUUCUCUCAUUGCAUUGUUACCGUUCCCCGUUUUCUUUACAUGAUGGGAUAUUUAUUUAUUUAUUAUUAUUAUUAUUAUUAUUAUUAUUAUUAUUAUUAUUAUUAUUAUUAUUAUUAUUAUUAUUAUUAUUAUUAUUAUUAUUAUUAUUAUUAUUAUUAUCAUUAUCAUUAUUAUUAUUAUUAUUGCUGAUUUAAUUGGUAAUGUGAUAUACUACUACUACUACUACAACUAUUACAACCUACUAUUACCACCACCGCCACCACCACUGCUACUACUACUACUACUACUACUACUACUACAAUGAAACACCCAGUGCCUUAUAAAGUGAAAUACUUAUACUUGACAAACUGAAGGAAAAAGGAAAACAAAACUACUACUACUACUACUACUACUACUACUACUACUACUACUACUACUAUUACUGUGUCCUAUAUAGUGACCAUAAAACCAGUGCUGUUUGUCGUAAAAGCAAUAAUAGAGUUAGAGAGAGAGAGAGAGAGAGAGAGAGAGAGAGAGAGAGAGAGAGAGAGAGAGAGAGAUUGAUUUAACUGUGUCUGUGUGUCUGUCUGUCUGUCUCCCAUUUCUACUACUACUACCACUACUACUACUACUACUACUACUACUACUACAACAACAAGUGUAAUAUAUAUAUUUUAUUAAUAUAUUAUCGUCUAUGUUAAAACUGUGACACUUUAUUGCACUUAAGUAAAUAAAAAGUGUUCAUUGA